GAUGAACGCUGGCGGCGUGCCUAAUACAUGCAAGUCGAGCGAAGCGGGGACGGGUGAGUAACACGUGGAUAACCUCCUAUAAGACUGGGAUAACUUCGGGAAACCGGAGCUAAACCGGAUACUUAUAGAUGGAUCCGCGCUGCAGUAGCGAGUUGGUAAGGUAACGGCUUACCAAGGCAACGAGGCAUAGCCGACCUGAGAGGGGGCGCGGCCACACGGGACAUGAGCUACGGUCCAGACUCUUAGGGGAGGCAGCAGUAGGGAUUCGUCGGCAAGGGGCGAAGGCCUGACGGAGAAACGCCGGUUGGUGGAGGAAGGCCUGCGUUGCGAAAAACUCUGUUAUUAGGGAAGCGGUACCUAAUCAGAAAGCCCCGGUUAACUCCGUGCAAGCAGCGCGGUAAUAC
rnacentral:rRNA from 1 species